UACGAAGGGUGCAAGCGUUACUCGGAAUUACUGGGCGUAAAGGGCGCGUAGGCGGCCUGCUAAGUCGAACGUGAAAUCCCCGGGCUCAACCCGGGAACUGCGUCCGAUACUGGUUGGCUUGAAUCCGGGAGAGGGAUGCGGAAUUCCAGGUGUAGCGGUGAAAUGCGUAGAUAUCUGGAGGAACACCGGUGGCGAAGGCGGCAUCCUGGACCGGCAUUGACGCUGAGGCGCGAAAGCCAGGGGAGCAAACGGG
rnacentral:rRNA from 1 species